rnacentral:lncRNA from 1 species
AUUAUAUAGAAAUACAAUUAAUUUUUGUUUUGAACUUGUGUCCUACAAUCUUGCUAAAUUGAUUUAUUAGUCCUCGUCCCUGCUCCCCGGACCCGGGUGCCUUAGAGUGUUCUGCACACACUUUAUCUGCAGAUAGUACACUUUUACCGUUCCCUUUCUAAUCUGCUUUUUUCUUUCCCCUCCCUUAGUUACUACCUGGGCUUUGUAGUACAAAGUUAAAUCAACACAGAGUGAAUAUCUUUGCUUCAUUUGUGAUUUUAGAAAACAUCAAACCUCUCACUCUUAAGUGUAGUGUUAGCUGUAGAUUUUUUUCAUAGAUGAACAAUCAGAUGCAGAGGACUUCUAUUUCUACAUGUUGAAAGAUUUUUAUCAUGAAGGAAUAUUGAUUUCUAUGAAAUGUUUUUUUUCCUGCAUAUGUUGAAAUAAUGAUAUGAUUUAACAUUCUGUAUUCUAUCUUGGUAAAUUACAUUGAUUGAUUUUCUGAUGUUAAACCAGUCUUAUACUCUGAGAUACAGUUCUCUUGAAUAUGGCAUACAGCAUCCUUUUUACAUAAUAUUGAUUCUUAUUUGCUAGUAUUUUAAAGAACAUUUACAUCUGUGUUCAUGGGUGAUGUUGCUCUGAAUGCUUUUUUCUUGUGAUGUCUCUGAUUUUGUAAUCAAAUCAAUGAUGAGUUUAGAAAUGCUUCCUCUUAUUUUCUGAAAAAAGUUUAUGCAAGAUGGGU